GAUGAAGAACGUAGCGAAAUGCGAUAAGUAAUGCGAAUUGCAGAAUUCAGUGAGUCAUCGAAUCUUUGAACGCACAUUGCGCCCUGUGGUAUUCCGCAGGGCAUGCCUGUUCGAGCGUCAUUUCAACCCUCAAGCUCUGCUUGGUGUUGGGCCCUGCCCGCUGCGGCCGGCCCUAAAGACAGUGGCGGUGCCGCCUGGCCCUGAGCGUAGUACAUCUCUCGCUCCAGUGCCCGGUGGUAGCCUGCCAGAACCCCAACUCUCGUGGUUGACCUCGGAUCAGGUAGGGAUACCCGCUGAACUUAAGCAUAUCAAUAAGCUGAGGA
rnacentral:misc_RNA from 1 species